GCAUAACUAGUAUUGGAGGCACUGCCUGCCCAGUGACAACCGUUAAACGGCCGCGGUAUCCUGACCGUGCGAAGGUAGCAUAAUCACUUGUUCUCUAAAUAAGGACUUGUAUGAAUGGCCAAACGAGGGUUUUACUGUCUCUUACUUCCCAUCAGUGAAAUUGACCUCCCCGUGAAGAGGCGGGGAUAUAAUAAUAAGACGAGAAGACCCUAUGGAGCUUUAACUACUUAACCCAAAGAAAUAGACUUAACCACCAAGGUAAUAACAAUAAUCUCUAUGGGUUAACAGUUUUGGUUGGGGUGACCUCGGAGAACAAAAAAUCCUCCGAGCGAUUUUAAAGACUAGACCUACAAGUCACAUCGCACAAUCGUUUAUUGAUCCAAAAAUUGAUCAACGGAACAAGUUACCCUAGGGAUAACAGCGCAAUCCUAUUCAAGAGUCCAUAUCGACAAUAGGGUUUACGACCUCGAUGUUGGAUCAGGACAUCCUGAUGGUGCAACCGCUAUCAAGGGUUCGUUUGUUCAACGA
rnacentral:rRNA from 1 species